GCGGGCGUGGCGGAACGGCAGACGCGCCGGGUUUAGGUCCCGGUCCCGAGAGGGGUGUGGGUUCGACUCCCACCGCCCGCA
rnacentral:tRNA from 1 species